UACAGAGGUGGCAAGCGUUGUUCGGAAUUACUGGGCGUAAAGGGCGCGUAGGCGGCCAACUAAGUCGGACGUGAAAUCCCCGGGCUCAACCCGGGAACUGCGUCCGAUACUGGAUGGCUUGAAUCCGGGAGAGGGAUGUGGAAUUCCAGGUGUAGCGGUGAAAUGCGUAGAUAUCUGGAGAAACACCGGUGGCGAAGGCGGCAUCCUGGACCGGUAUUGACGCUGAGGCGCGAAAGCCAGGGGAGCAAACGGG
rnacentral:rRNA from 1 species